AUUGAACGCUGGCGGCAGGCCUAACACAUGCAAGUCGAGCGGAUGAAGGGAGCUUGCUCCUGGAUUCAGCGGCGGACGGGUGAGUAAUGCCUAGGAAUCUGCCUGGUAGUGGGGGAUAACGUCCGGAAACGGGCGCUAAUACCGCAUACGUCCUGAGGGAGAAAGUGGGGGAUCUUCGGACCUCACGCUAUCAGAUGAGCCUAGGUCGGAUUAGCUAGUUGGUGGGGUAAAGGCCUACCAAGGCGACGAUCCGUAACUGGUCUGAGAGGAUGAUCAGUCACCCUGGAACUGAGACACGGUCCAGACUCCUACGGGAGGCAGCAGUGGGGAAUAUUGGACAAUGCGCGACAGCCUGAUCCAGCCAUGCCGCGUGUGUGAAGAAGGUCUUCGGAUUGUAAAGCACUUUAAGUUGGGAGGAAGGGCAGUAAGUUAAUCCCUUGCUGUUUUGCCGUUACCAACAGAAUAAGCACCGGCUAACUUCGUG
rnacentral:rRNA from 1 species